CGGGGUCUAGAAAUGGAACCCCUGCACAAAAUGGUUGUCUACUGUAUUUCAUUAUCUGUUCUAGGACCUUUCCUAGCAUUGAUGUAAAGCUCACUAGUUGGUAGUUAACCUGGGUCUUCUCCCCACUCCAUCCCUUUUGAAGAUGGGCAAAACUGUGGUGGCCCCUUUGUGAUCACAGGGAAGUUUUAAAUAGAAGCUGCCAUUUGUAUCCUUCAUGAAUCAUGCAUUCAUCUCUCUCUGUUAUGUGUGUUACAUUAUUAAUCUGUUUUCUGAGUAUUUCAAGUGCUGCAACUAAAUGCAAAACUAAAGUCAGCUUUUAAAAUACCAUGGUCUUUUUCUCUUCUCCCUUUCCCUGAUAUAAGCAGAAAUAAAACAACUAGUUCAUGUGCAUAUAAAGAAUUAUUUCCUAAGAUCCAAACAAAUUAAUAUUAAUAUUUAGCAUGAUGAAAUAAAGCUAGCAGCAUGACUUCACUGCUGUUUGGUAAAAAAAAAUUUUCUAGAAUUGCUGCCGACAUAGCAAGUAUUUUAUCUUCAGAUUAAUGAUCAAAGUUUUUUUUACUUGGCAUAUAGUAUCGCUCAGGGGUAGCUGUUCUGGAAGGCGCAAAAUAGGCUGCAGUCCUUACACAUGUAUCACAAUGUUUACCUGCAUUUAGACAGCCCAUAGGUAGGAUGUUAAUAAGAUCCUCCCAGAGUUUUAUUUUUUCUCUUUUCUGGAGUGUUUCUAUAUGACCAGUCACCACAUUAUCAGCAAUGGUCAUCACUAUUGUGAUAUGGGGAAAGUGAGGGGCUUCCUGUGUUUUUGGACUAUAAUGCCCAUCAUCCCUGGCCACUGGUCGUGCUGGCUGAGGCUGAUGGGAUUGUAAUCUAACAACACCUGAGGGCCCACAGUCACUCCUUCAUAAUGCCCUCUCCAAAUCUUCUCUGGAAGAUUGGGGAUGGGAAAUCCCAGAACAGAUUUUGGGGAUGCACAAGGGGAGGAAAGCCUUCUUGCAGAAAUCCUUUUGCUGAUGGGCUGGUUACUUAGCACUAUAUUGGAUGCAAGCCAUUUUUCUCUUCCAGGUGAGCUGUUGCCCUUUCCAACUGAAACCCUCUCAGUGCUGAUUUCAUUCAUUUAUGUUCUUCACUUGAUUUCUAACAUUUCGAUGGCUCACAGGUGAAUAGCCUCCACUUGAAAGCAUUGUGUCUGGAUUGAUAUGAAAUGUUGGACUAUGAAAUUUGAUCUGCCGCACCUGACUUUCCAGUAAUUACAUGAUGAAUAUCAAUGGAUGAACUGAACUUUCUUCAUAUCCUUUCUACAUAUUCAGUGUAACGCAACCAUAUUUUAUCCUGGCAUGAUAAAAUGAGUUGCCCUGGGACAGCAGAAAUGAGAUGAGGCACACUCUGGCCCUUACUGCCUGUUCAAGGGACAAUGGACAAUAGGAGGUUUUGUCUCUAGGAAACCACUAUGGCAAGGGGAAGACCAUUGAGAUAGAGAAAAAGUAGCUGCUUUGCCUUCCAGAUUGGCCAUUGUCCUAGGAGUAUAAAAGCACAUGGAGGGAUGCCCUGGCAACUGCCAGCAACCAGACGAACAAGACCUUUGAGCAGUUCUAUGCAUUGCUUUGAUGCAUUGAAAACUGCUUUGGAGAUCAUUUGGUCAAAAGGCAUGGUGUGAACUGGGUCAGGGUAAGAUGGUCCUCCAGAUGUUGUUUGGGUCUAGCUACUGUCUUUUCUGCCUAUUGCCCAUGGCUGCUGGGGCUGUUGAGAAUCGGGGGUCCAAUAACUACUGGUGCAGGGGAUAUGUACCCACUAAUAUAAUAUAUCUUCAUUCUUAUGCAUAUCCCCAUAUGAUUUUUGUGUGAACAUUGGUUGGAUAACUACAUCACAAAAUUCAGAUAUGUGAUUUUUCUUCAAGGGAUUGUUGUGUUUCAGAACACGAACAUACACACACAGAGAGAGGAAAGUGUGAAUUUGAUAGAUUUGGCUUUAAAUGUGUCCUGAAUUGAAUUUCUCCUCCAGCCCUAGCUGUGAUUAAUAUAACCUGUAGUUACAAUAACACUGAUUUACACUGACAUGUAGUGCAAAACACACUGAAGUGCUGUAAUGUGAAAAUCAUGAUUGUAGUAGUAAAUUAUUUACAUGAAAAUAAAUAUAAUAAAGCACUUAAAACCAAGCCCAGUACAAGUAAUUUGGUGUGGAUAGAAAGCUUAGUGGUGAUAAGGCCUUUUGCAUGCGGAACUCUUGAGCUCCAUCCCUGCCAUCUCCAGGUUGGCCAGGGGAAAGACCCUCCCUGGAGAGCUACUUCCCAUCAGUGUAGAAAAUGCUAUGCUCCUGUGACUGAAUUUUCUAUUCAGUCAUUCAUGCAAAUGUUCAAAUACUCAGUCACAAACUUAAGAACAGUUGUACAUCAGAUUAACAAAAUGCAGCAUGCAAAUAUGUGAGAUCCCACGAGGUGCCCUAAGACUAAGUCUCUCCUUCAAAGAAAACUGAAUAUUGCAUUUUGCCCUGUUCUCCGGUUCACAACCAUAAGGCAAGGAAGGAACAAAAGAGGGAAAAGGUUAUGAAUAUAGUUCAAUUGUAUACUUGCUUGAAAGAGUAUGGGGAAAGCCAUAAAUCGUGUUACCAAAAAAAAUGGCACUUUUUUUCUUUUUCUCUCAGUGACUAAAUAAAUAAAAUAAGAAACAAUUAAGAAUAAUAAAACAAGGGGAAAUUGUUGUUUUUACUUUAAGAAGGGAGUAAAAAAAGAAGAGUGGUGGGGACAGACUUCCGGAUACCCUGAAUGACGAGAGUUCAUGGGUGCAGAUGAAUCCAAUGCCUAAUAAGAGUGAAGAAAUGAACAAAAAGAUAAGGAAGAACAAGGAGUCUAGUUAAUUCAGAAUGUAAAAGCUGGAGUUUAAAUUUAAAAGGCAUAAUAAUCUGAACACAGUCAAAUAAAUUAUAGUGAUAACAUAAAUAAAGUCAAAUGCAAGACAAAUAAUGUUUGUGUGGGGAGAAUUCUUAAGGUAAAUCAGGGGUUUACUGAAGAUGUAGGAAGGCCAGCAAAUAAACCAGUAAUCUAGAGAAAUUUGCUUGUUCAUGUUCAAGAUUAAAAACCUCUAUGGUCAAUUUAGCCUUCCCACUGCACAAGUAAAAAUAAAUCAGUAAAUCCUUACAUUUUGGAAGGUGAGGAAGGUAACGUGCAGUAGAAGACCCAUUCGAGAUCAUUUGCUGGGCCUCAGUUUAUAAUUGGAUGGUCCCUUGUUUGGGAGUUUAAUGCAAAACUGUAUUAUGAAGGUAAUUUUUUUUUAAAAAAAGUGUUGAGUUGAGAUUCAUAGUUGGUAUUUACCAGGACAAAAGUGGUAAGGACCUAACAGAAGCAGAAGACAUCAAGAAGAGGUGGCAAGAAUACACAGAGGAAUUACACCAGAAAGAUAUGGAGGUCUCAUACACCCCAGGUAGUGUGGUUGAUGACCUUGAGCCAGACAUCUUGGAGAGUGAAGUCAAAUGGGCCUUAGAAAGCACUGCUAAUAACAAGGGCAGUGGAAGAGAUGAUAUUCCAGCUGAACUAUUUAAAAUUUUAAAAGAUGAUGCUGUUAAGGUGCUACACCCAAUAUGCCAGCAAGUUUGGAAAACUCAGCAAUGGCCAGAGGAUUGGAGAAGAUCAGUCUACAUCCCAAUUCCAAAGAAGGGCAGUGCCAAAGAAUGCUCCAACUACCGCACAAUUGCGCUCAUUUCACAUGCUAGCAAGGUUAUGCUUAAAAUUCUACAAGGCAGGCUCAGGUAGUAUGUGGACCGAGAACUCCCAGAAGUGCAAGCUGGAUUUCGAAGGGGCAGAGGAACCAGAGACCAAAUAGCAAACAUGUGCUGAAUUAUGGAGAAAGCUAGAGAGUUCCAGAAAAAUGUCUACUUCUGCUUCAUUGACUACGCAAAAGCAUUUGACUGUGUCAACCACAGCAAACUAUGGCAAGUUCUUAAAGAAAUGGGGAGUGCCUGAUCACCUCAUCUGUCUCCUGAGAAAUCUCUGGUCCCAUCACCUCCUGGCAAAUAGAAGGGGAAGAAAAGGAGGCAGUGAGAGAUUUUACUUUCUUGGGCUCCUUGAUCACUGUAGAUGGUGACAGCAGUCACAAAAUUAAAAGACACCUGCUUCUUGGGAGAAAAGCAAUGACAAACCUAGACAGCAUCUUAAAAAGCAGAGACAUCACCUUGCCGACAAAGGUCCGUAUCGUUAAAGCUAUGGUUUUCCCAGUAGUGAUGUAUGGAAGUGAGAGCUGGACCAUAAAGAAGGCUGAUCGCUGAAGAAUUGAUGCUUUUGAAUUAUGGUGCUGGAGGAGACUCUUGAGAGUCCCAUGGACUGCAAAAAGAUCAAAGCUAUCCAUUCUGAAGGAAAUCAGCCCUGAGUGCUCACUGGAAGGACAGAUCCUGAAGCUGAGGCUCCAAUACUUUGGCCACCUCAUGAGAAGAGAAGACUCCCUGGAAAAUACCCUGAUGUUGGGAAAGAUUGAGGGCACAAGGAGAAGGGGACGACAGAGGAUGAGAUGGUUGGACAGCGUUCUCAAAGCUACGAACAUGAGUUUGACCAAGCUGCGGGAGGCAGUGGAAGACAGGAGUGCUUGGCGUGCUCUGGUCCAUGGGGUCAUGAAGAAUCAGACAUGACUAAACGACUAAACAACAACAACCAUUGUCCACUGCUGAGUUGCUGUUCUUGGGAAAUGUGGCUUAGCACCCUCUCUGGAUGACAUCGCAAAGCAAUGGUGAAGGCAUAGAAGGCAUGAUCUGGUUCAGUAUUCUGUGCACUGAUUGGCAAUUGGUCUCCAAGGUUUCAGGCGGGAGACAUUCCUAUUCUACCUGAAGAUGAUGGUGAUUCUGUAUUCAAAGCAGGAUUCACCUAACAAAGCCCACCAGUGCACCUAACAAACCCCACCUAACAAACCCCACCUGUGCAAUGACUUCUACUUUCUGAAUGGAGCUUUCCCCCUUCUCCCCCCCCCCGUGUGUCCCCUGAAAUUGACUUGUGGGGGUGAGUCAGGAAAACCACCAGGACAGCAUGUGGAGGGAGGGGAUGGUGGAUUUUUCUGUUUAGCAAGCUGUGGUGCUUGUGGAUAGGGAAUGAUUGUAAUAGCAUGACAUUGAAUUCCACCCUUUAAAUGUAUGCCAUGGUCAAUCAGGAAUUACUUCAAAGCUGAUUUGAACCUCAGUUGUGAAAGCAUAAAAGGCUGUUUCUGAAAGAGUAAUCAAUGUAAGAAUGAUAAUGGCUUUGCUUAAAACCCUUAUCUUGGCCAGAAUACCCCCCCAAAUACUAACUAAAACUAUUCACAUAUCUAUGUAACUAGCAACUGUUUAGUCGUGUCCAACUCUUCGUGACCCCAUGGACCAGAGCACGCAAUACAGUACCUAAAAAGAACUAGCAAUACAGUACCUAAAAAGAAUAAAUCAAAGCAACACUGAAAAUAAAUUCAGCCCCUUUAAACGUUGUUACUAUUUUACUUUAUGAAUCACCUUUCAUGUAAAUCUUAGGGCAAUUUACAAUAUUACAAUACAAACAACUAAAACAAUAUAAAUAAAACCAGUUGUAAGCUUGUUGAAACAAAAUGCCUCCAAUUGUUUCUGGCAAGGAGAUUUUGUGUGUACCUGUCAUAUCUCAGGGAUGCUGUUCUAUAAAGCACUUGAGCUCUAUCAGCUAGCCAGAGGCUUUCUUAAUUAAAAAGAAACUUGGCCUCACAUAAUUUUCUAAAACCAAAAGGGAAAGGAGCAUAGCUGAAGCUCACAGGGAGACUAUUUCAAAUUUCUAGGACAGCCACUGCCAAAGGCUCUGCUCCUUAGUUCAGACAUCCUCACCUUUCAAAAAGGGGAUCCAGGGCUUGCCCAGCAAUGAUCACAUUAGUAGACAGAUGUGUUUGUGCUCUCAAUUGACCCAGAAUAGCCCCAUUAAAAUCAAUGAACUUUAUUAAUUUCAGUAAAACUUAGCUGAAUGAUACCUAGAAUUAUUAACUUGGCUAUGUUUAAUUCUUCAAAUCUUAACAUAUCACAAUUUCAGAACAUACAAUUUACUUAUAAAUCACUAGUCCUGCUAUUAUCCGUUAAAAACUUGGUUUCAAUCCAUUGUGGUUGUAACUGUGUCAUAUUAAUUUUAGAGGCAGAUCCCCCCCCCCAAUUUCUGCCCUAUAUCAGACUUCAUUUAGCCACUUCUGUGCAAUGCAAUAGAAUCCUAAACAGGUUUACACAGAAGUACAUUAUACUGAGACUAAUAAAUUUUAUUCCCAAAUUAAUACGAAUUACAGCCUCUUUGUUGCAACCGUGUUGUUUACAGUGUUUUGCUUCCAUAAUUUUUACAAACGCUAAUAAAAAUGUUACUUUUCAACCUUUGUGGUCCCUUUGGUAAGCCAAAUAGAUUUACUACUGGUUCCCUUGCUAUUUUUUAUGUGUGUUAUUUUGCAAGCUGCUUCAAGACAUUAUCUAAUCAAAAACAUUUUAAUCUGCCAGAAACAUGCAGAAAAAUCAAUAUUGCUCAAAUAGGUAAUAUUUCAUAUAGUUUGAUUUCUUAAAUAUUUGAAGAAAGCAUAUCAAAUUAGGAACUAUUAUUCCAACUUUUCUAAUGGGAGUUCUAUGCAUAAAUCUAUAAACAUGUCUUUUUAAAAAUCACCUAAGAUUACAGCUUCUUCCUUAAACAUUGUAACAAAGUGUGUCUUUCUCUCUUUUCAGUACAUGCACUCAGUCUUUUGUACAUUACUCAGCUGUGGAGUGGGUGGCACUGUGGUCUAAACCACUGGUCUAAACCACUGAGCCUCUUGGGCUUGCUGAUCAGAAGGUCAGCAGUUCGAAUCCACACAAUGGUGGUGAGUUCCCAUUGCUCUGUCCCUGCUUCUGCCAACCUAGCAGUUCGAAAGCACGCCAGUGCAAGUAGAUCAAUAGGUACCACUGCGGCGGGAAGGUAAACGGUGUCUCUGUGUGCUCUGGUUUCUGUCACGGUGUUCCGUUGUGCCAGAAGCGGUUUAGUCCUGCUGGCCACGUGACCUGGAAAGCUGCCUGUGGACAAACGCCGGCUCCCUCUGCCUGAAAGCGAGAUGAGCGCCGCAACCCCAUAGUCGCCUUUGACUGGACUUAACCAUCCAGGGGUCCUUUACCUUUAUCUUUUACAUUACUCAACUAGUAGGGAUGCGGGUGGUGCUGUGAUCUAAACCACCGAGCGUCUUGGGUUUGCCAGUCAUAAGGUCGGUGGUUCGAAUCCUCGCGACAGAGUGAGCUCCCAUUGCUCUGUCCCAGUGUCUGCCUACCUAGCAGUUUGAAAGCAUAGGUACAUAGGUAGGUACAAAUAGGUACCUACCGCUGUAGAGGGAAGAAAAACGGCAUUUCCAUGCACUCUGGCACUCGUCACGGUGUUCCGUGUGCCAGAAGUGGUUUAGUUAUGCUGGCCACAUGACUCGGAAAAGCUGUGUGUGGACAAAUGCUUGCUCCCUUGGCCUGAAAGCGGAGAUGAGCGCUGCACCCUAUAGUUGAAUUCGACUGGACAUAACAGUCUUGCGGCCCUUCACCUUUACUUUUUACCUUACAUUACUCAGCUAGGCUAUGCAGCUCCUUCUGAGAGGCUUCCACUAUCUCCUUCCAAAAGACUUCUCCCUACUGCUUCUUUGAGAGAACAUCGACUUCUGUACUUCUUUCUGUCACAUAUAUAAACACAGAAAUGUUAGCACUCCUCUCCUCUAUUGCAUUUAGAGAGAGAGUUAUCCAACACUGUCUCUUUUUCGGUGUCCAUGGACAUGCAGCCAUUACAGUCAAGUCACUCCCACACGCACAAAAACAAAAUGGAGAAUGGAAUAAGAUACCUCCCAUGUGACCAGAGUUAACCAACCACAUGAGAGUCACUGGGGAACAUUCCAGAAUUUAACACAGUCAUGCAUUUUAAGCAUUCCCACUUUCAGUAAAUCAAAUCACUAUACUUAACAAGAAGGACCUGCAGUCCUUCAGGUGAAUUUGGUUCCCCAUCCCUGAUUAGUUAACCAAGUUCUAUCUACGUGGGCGAAAGCCCCAAUCCUUAUUAUGUAGUAUGGAUUAUCCGGAGUAAAAUUGCAUAUCGAGCCUACGAAGGCUCCUGUCUUUCUUCCUGUUAUGUACUGAGCUGAAUCCUAGAACAAUAGGAUUCAGAAUCAGCGGGAGCUACCCAAUCCAACUCCAGGUGGAAGUGAAUCCGCAACCUGAUUGGCCUGCUGGAGCAGCCAAUCAGGCGGCUGGCAGAAGUGAAUCUGCUACCUGAUUGGCCUGUAGGAGCAGCCAAUCAGGCUGCAGGCAGAAGUCAAUCCACAAUAUAAUUGGCCCACAGGUGUAGCCCUGAAGUAGCCAAUCACGCAAGGCCCAUUGUGUAAAUAAUGUAUAUAAGCAGAUGGUUUUGGGAAAAGAGCGAUUCGUCUUCUCUUCUUCUCCUUGAUGAAUAUGAGCUGAAUAAAGAGCAUGAAAUUCACUCUCGACUCCGAGCAUAUUUCACUGGCGACGAAGGUGGGAUCCUGAUGAGCUGACCGCCACCACGCACUGCACCGCAGCACCGCCACCUGCUGCACCACUGCAUCGCACCGUGCAUCCAGGCUUCAGCUCCAGGACCCAAGGAACCCAGAAUGGCAACCGACAGCAGCUUCUUGCCAUUCAAACCAGCAUCAGGAGACUGGGAAGGGUACGCCGCCCGUUUCAACUUCCUCCUGCAAGCGAAAGAAGUCACCAACGAUGCCAUGAAGAGGGCGACAUUCUUCAGCGUCUGUGGAGAGGAGACGUUUGAAAUCGCCCGGGCUCUCCUUGCACCUAGAGAUGUCGCUACCGUCUCUUACAAAACAAUAAUGGAACGGCUGAAGGAGCACUUUUCACCACAGCCCUCGGUGGUAGCUUGCCGAAAUGCCUUCUACGCAAAGCGGCAAGCCCCGGGGGAAACCAUAACUGGGUUUGUGACCUCCCUCCGCCAAGCCGCCCAGUUAUGCAACUUCUCAGAGUUGGAGAACAUGCUUCGUGACCGCCUCGUCGGUGGCCUGAGGGACGAGAUGUUGCAACGACGCCUCUACGCCAAAAAAGACCUCACGUUCCAGAUUGCUCUGGAGGAAGCCCUGGCAACCGAAGCCGCCGAGAGGUCAACGCAAGAGGCACGACCGGCCCCGCCAUCCCAACCGAGGGUCUACCACGAAGACCUCACCGACGAAUCCGAAUCUGACAGGGAGGAAGUACACCGAGUACAGCGGCGCACUCAAGCAGCACACACACCACAGCAGCCUCGACGAGAAGGAGGGAACUGUGCAAGCUGCGGGGAGAACCACGAGAGGAGGACCUGUCGUUUCCGCAACGCAGAGUGCAGGCAGUGCAGAAAAUUGGGACACAUCGCCCGGGUGUGUCGGGCUCGACUCACCCGUCGACAAGCAUCAGAUGACCGACCCAGGAGCCCCAGGUCACACGGCACCAUGCACCAAGGCAACUCGACGGAGAUCACGGACUACCAGGUAUUCCAGUUGCCCCAUCCCAGCACAGAGAAAAUUUAUAUAGAGGUACAGAUAGAGGGAGCCCCAUGCCGUAUGGAGCUGGACACGGGUUCAACUCUAUCCAUAAUCUCGGCCCGAACAUUAAGGGAACUGUGCCCUAAUGGGGGUCCCAAACUAAGGCCGGCCCCAUUCACCCUCCGGGACUUCCAGAAACGUAAGGUCCCUACAAUGGGGGUGGGGACCUUCAGGGUGCAAUAUCGAGGGCGAAAGCAACAAUUGGACUUGCUGGUAGUUAAGGGCCCCUACGUUAGCUUACUGGGACUGGCAUGGUUUGGACCUCUGGGGCUAGCCGUUACCGGGGUGAACCGCACUAGCUUACAAGUGGACGUGGACGCCAUAUGCAAAGAGUUUCCAGGGGUUUUCGAUGGGGCAUUGGGACGAUAUACAGGACCCCCCAUUGCCCUACAGCUAGACCCCGCUGUACGACCCAUCAGGCACAAGGCCCGCCGGGUCCCGUUCGCCCUGAAACCCCGCAUAGACGAGGAAUUGGACCGGCUCGUGGAGCAAGGAGUGCUGGAGCCAGUGCCCAACGCCCCCUGGGAAACUCCAAUUGUCACACCCGUCAAGCCUAACGGUUCGGUCCGCAUCUGUGCAGACUACAAAUGCACCAUAAACAAGGCUCUCACGGCCCAUGCAUACCCAGUGCCAGUGGUCAGCCAUGUCCUCGCCACCCUGGCUGGGUCAAAAAUCUUUGGCAAACUGGACUUGGCCCAAGCAUAUCAACAGUUGCCUGUGGACAAAGCCACAGCAGAGGCUCAGACGAUUGUGACGCACAGAGGGGCAUUCAGAGUAAAGCGGCUGCAAUUUGGCGUUAGCGUGGCACCAGGCAUAUUCCAGAAUCUAAUGGACUCUCUCCUUAAAGGGAUUCCUGGCGUCACCCCCUUCUUCGAUGAUGUACUGAUCGCCGGGCCCACACCAGAGGAAUUUGAGGACCGCCUCCGCUCCGUCCUGCACCGUUUCCAGACGGCGGGCCUCAAGGUGAAGCGGGGAAAGUGUUUACUGGGAGUGCCGCAGGUGGACUUUCUGGGAUUUAAGGUGGACGCAGAAGGGGUCCAUCCAACCGGUGACAAGGUACGGGCCAUUUGUGAGGCCCCAGCGCCCAAGAGCAAGCCCGAACUUCAGUCAUUCUUGGGACUAUUGAACUUUUACCAUGCCUUCCUUCCCCAUAAGGCAGCGGUAGCGGAGCCCCUACACAGACUCCUAGAUAAAAGGGCCCCUUGGGUGUGGGGCCAGCGACAAAGGGCCGCAUUCCAGGCAGUCAAGGACUUGCUCGUCUCGAACUCGGUCUUGGCACACUUCGACGAGAGGCUGCCAGUGGUGCUGGCAUGCGACGCCUCUCCCUAUGGCAUCGGCGCUGUCCUGGGACACCAACUCCCGGAUGGAAGAGAGGUGCCGGUGGCAUACUUCUCCCAGACGCUUGCUGCAGCCGAACGAAACUACUCACAGAUUGACAAGGAGGGUCUGGCAAUCGUGAAGGGCGUAAAAAAAUUCCAUGAUUUCUUGUACGGGCGGCCCUUUACCAUAGUGACUGACCACAAGCCGUUGCUUGGCCUGUUUGCCCCCGAGAAGCAGACCCCCCAAGUGUUGUCUCCACGUGUCCUCAGGUGGUCAAUUUUCCUUGCCGGCUACCAGUAUGCACUAAUCCACCGCCCUGGGAAGGCGAUGGGCCACGCAGACGCACUCAGCAGGCUACCACUACCAGAAACAGGCCCCGACCCAGCGCCUGCGCAAGAGGUUAUGACCCUGGAGCUGCUUCCCGACCGACCCAUUCAGGCACAAGAAGUUGCGCACCAUUCCACAAAAGAUAGGGUCAUCUCCCGGGUCCUGGACUGGGUGUGGCGAGGAUGGCCCAGCAGCAGCCCCGGACCAGAAUUCUCUGGCUACACAAACCGCAAACAUGAACUGUCGGCCCACAAGGGGUGCCUGUUAUGGGGAAGCAGGGUUGUUGUUCCCCAGCCCCUCCGCAAAAGGGACCUCACAGCCCUACACGAGACACACCCAGGGGUAGUGAGGAUGAAGGCCCUUGCCAGGAGUUAUGUGUGGUGGCCGGGGAUUGACAGAGAGAUAGAGGCCUGGGUCCAACACUGCCAGACCUGCCAAGAAUCCCGCCCGGAUCCCCCAAGGGCCCCAGUCCAGCCCUGGGAGUCCGCCCGACAUCCAUGGUCACGCUUGCACGUGGACUUCGCUGGCCCCUUCCAGGGAAAAACAUUCUUCAUAGUGGUGGAUUCCUACACCAAAUGGCUGGAGGUCGCACUGGUACCGUCCACUUCUACGGCGGCAGCCAUCCGGGUACUACGUAAGCUGUUUGCAACCCACGGGCUCCCUGACACCCUCGUCUCGGACAAUGGAACUGCAUUCACGUCAGAGGAGUUCCAGACCUUCACAGCGCAGAACGCCAUCCGCCACAUCCGCUCAGCACCAUUCCACCCUGCCACCAAUGGCCAAGCGGAGCGCAUGGUGCGGACCACCAAGGACAGCCUCCGCCGCAUAACACAAGGGGACUGGGAAUACCGCCUUGCCGCAUUUCUUCUAGCACAGCACAGCACCCCAAGCACAACGACGGGCCGGAGCCCAGCUGAACUACUCAUGGGCCGGCGCCUUGCAACUAGACUGGACCGACUUCACCCCGACAGAGCUCAGGAUGAGGUAGUGGUGGGGAAAGGCAGGAACCCCCGGACAUUUGUGGCCCAGGACCCAGUGUAUGCAAAGAAUUUUGGGGCAGGCCCAGCAUGGGUACCCGCCACAGUCACCAAGGUGACCGGUCCCGUGUCGUACGAGGUACUAACGGAAGGGGGGCAAUGUUGGCGCCGCCACUGCGACCAGCUACGGCGACGAUUCCCAGGAGGAACCCGGGAGGAGAGCGGGACAGAGGGGUCCCAAGGGGACAGCAGGGCAGUGAGGCCUGUAGAGCGAGAGGGGUGGGCAGGGGAAGCAGAAGCAGUAGGCACAGAGGGGCGCCCCGAGGCUGGAAGGACACCGGAACCAGAGUCACAACCUAGUGGUUCAGAGGCGCCAGACCAGACAGCCCCGGCACAGCCAGCAGCCUCGGAACACGAGCCAGAACCAGAACCCCUGACCAAGGAACACCCCAGGCCACAACGCACACGGAGGCGGCCAGCAGACCUUGGGGACUACGAAUGCAACUUCCCGGGCAGGACUGGAACUUAGAGGGGAGGGGUGUUAUGUACUGAGCUGAAUCCUAGAACAAUAGGAUUCAGAAUCAGCGGGAGCUACCCAAUCCAACUCCAGGUGGAAGUGAAUCCGCAACCUGAUUGGCCUGCUGGAGCAGCCAAUCAGGCGGCUGGCAGAAGUGAAUCUGCUACCUGAUUGGCCUGUAGGAGCAGCCAAUCAGGCUGCAGGCAGAAGUCAAUCCACAAUAUAAUUGGCCCACAGGUGUAGCCCUGAAGUAGCCAAUCACGCAAGGCCCAUUGUGUAAAUAAUGUAUAUAAGCAGAUGGUUUUGGGAAAAGAGCGAUUCGUCUUCUCUUCUUCUCCUUGAUGAAUAUGAGCUGAAUAAAGAGCAUGAAAUUCACUCUCGACUCCGAGUAUAUUUCACUUCCUCUGUGCCAGUUAUCAGACGCACUAUCAUUUCCUUAAGGAGGGUCAAGCUACAUGUGUUACCUCACUUGGAGCAAUUUCCUAUUCCCACUGGAGAGUUCCGUUACUUCUGGUUAGACGGACCUUCCUUCUACCAAGGACAAUAUUGUUAUUUUGCAAUUAUGCUCCCAUUUGCUUUCAUACCAGCUAUGCCAAGGACAAAAAGUGCAUUGUGGCUGUAGCUUUCCUUCCCAACAUAUGUGUAUGCGCCCCUUUGGUAUAAUUUGUAUUAUAAAACUUGUGAAGAAACUAGCUGGAAAGCUGCCAACAGUAAUGCCCUGCCCACUAAGCAAAACGGUUUGUUUCCUCCCCAGGAGACAGAUCAAUAAUCAUGAAACAAAAAGGGGAAGGGGGGGGGAAUUAAAAGGCAAAAAGCUUAAGUCAUGUAAAUUAGGGUGGAGGAGAACAGAGAGAAAGCCCCUCAUUGGGAUUCAGCAACUUCUUCAGACCCCCAUGGUUCAUUAGCUAAUUUCUAUUAAAACACACAGCUCCAGAAUAAAGAAAUGCCAGUGGCUCGUUUCUAAAGGUUUGUCACAACCGAAGUAAACAUCUCCCUGUUCCCAGGACACCAGGAGACAAAAAAUUAACCAGAGGUUAACUGGGUCAUUAGCUGAAGCACAAUAUAGGUCACUGCAGUUUUAAUUUAGCUUGCCUUCAACCAAGGAAUCAAAUGCAGCAACCAGUUCUCACAGCUGGGAAACAAGUAACUUAUCAGCAUGUUAACGUAUCUUGGAUACCAGGCAUCAAGCCUGUCAUGAUGAUACAUCCCACCCUGUUUUGCUGCCAUGCUGUCUGGUGCGCACACAGUGAAAAGGUUCUGCACUUUUCAUCCAGCUUCCACACCCUAUUCAGGCACCUUGGGGGAAAAAAUCUGUUGCCUUUCCCUGCUUGUAUGUCCAUUACAGACUAUUCACUUCCCUAGGAACAAAUUGAAGAAACAACAACCAUCAACUGCAGGGCUGUGCCAGUCAGGGAAUUCCUGGGCAAACCAGUCUGGCUGGCUGAGGGAAGAGCAGGACUGUUAGCAUGAGGAUAGAGAGCCUUCAGGUGUGCCCCAGGUGUGACCAGAGACUGGAGAUUUGGAAGGUUGUCAAGGUAACUACUCUGGGGGAGGGCAAGGGGCUUCUGGGAAGAAGGAGGAGGAGGAAGGGGAAGAUCCAUCUUGGUGAGGAAGAAGGAAAGACUGUCUGCAAUGCUCUGGGUCAUGCUAUAAGAUCUUGAUCCUCUCCAUGAAGAUGCAAGGGGUAAAUAGGUGAAUAAACCCUAUUUCUUAAAGCACGUCAGUCUCCGCCAUGUUUUCUUUUCUCCAAAGGAACACAGACAGCUUAGCAGAGAGAGGGACAGACGUUGGGCUUCUGUAACAAUAUUGUUGCUUUUGUGUAGUCCAGUAGACGAAAUAUUUGACUUGGACCUCACCUGAACACUGGUAGGGUGGGAAAGCAGUUGCGCUGUACUUCCUGCCAUUUUCAAAACUUUGCUUUCAGCUCACAAAUCGAUUACAACAGUAGUUCCCUUUCAGUAAAAGAAAGUUUACUAUUCUGAUAAUGGAUUAAAUAAAAAUUGCCAAGCAUUGUGUAUACGAAGAGCUAUGACAUAAAUAGUGAAUAAUGACAAUAAUAAUAAUAAGAAGAAGAAAGCCUGGCCUUUUUGACUCUUUCUUUACAUUAGUUUGAUCAUUAGGUGACGUAUCCUUGAAGCAGCAGAUGUUUAGAUGAACAGAUUUGUAGCUGUAGUCACUCGUCAUUCUGCUGCACAGUGCUUAGAAUAAAAUACUAAUUAUAGCCUUAGUGCAUGCAAUCUGUUUUGUACUAAAAAUAUUCUGUCUCGCAUUCUUUCCUCCACAGGUGCUACUUAGCUUGAAAAUAAAUGGGAGUCGCAUUUUAAUAUAUAUGUGCUUUUUAUUAUUACCGUUGCCUCCUUUCAAGAAUAGUAGAGAGAGAUUUCAGGAAACUACAGCUAUUAAGAAAAGGGGUGGGUUGGUGUUUGAGUAAUUACUAAUGCAAUUAGCUGACAAAGAAGUGUUUUGUACUUUUAUAAUCAUACAGAGGUGUUUUAUAACAGGAAGGGGUGGUUACAGUAGCAAAGGGACUAGAGCCUCAAAUAGUUAGCAACCAGUAAUUUGAAAUAUCUGCGACUGCACUGCUUGUGGAAUGAGAAAUAAAAAUUAAAAGUUUAGAGAAGCAAAACUUUUGCUUUAAAUAUUGCUUUUCUCAUAGGUAUCAUAAGAAAAUGUUGUUGUUGUUGUUUAGUCGUUUAGUCGUGUCCGACUCUUCGUGACCCCACGGACCAUAGCACGCCGGGCACUCCUGUCUUCCACUGCCUCCCGCAGUUUGGUCAAACUCAUGUUCGUAGCUUCGAGAACACUGUCCAACCAUCUUGUCCUCUGACGUCCCCUUCUCCUAGUGCCCUCAAUCUUUCCCAACAUCAGGGUCUUUUCCAAGGAUUCUUCUCUUCUCAUGAGGUGGCCAAAGUAUUGGAGCCUCAGCUUCACGAUCUGUCCUUCCAGGGAGCACUCAGGGCUGAUUUCCUUAAGAAUGGAUAGGUUUGAUCUUCUUGCAGUCCAUGGGACUCUCAAGAGUCUCCUCCAGCACCAUAAUUCAAAAGUCAUAAGAAAAUAGCUGCUUGCAAACUAUUCCUUUCUUAGGUCACAGAUGGGGAACCUAUAUGCCUCCAUUGGUUGCUGUCCUCCCAUCAGCCCCAGACAGCUUGGGAAAUGGUAAAGGACAAUGGGAGUUGUCAUCCAAAAUGGGCCAUAGGUUCUCAAUCCCUGUCUUGGACUCAGCGGUGGAUGGUGCCCAUUGGGACUGGUAGGGGAGAAGGCAGAGAGGUCAACAGUAGGUGGAACCAGAGCCAAUAGCAGACAGAAUCAAUCAUGGGCUUAGCCAAGGGGAAGCAGGGAGGGGCAGCUGCAUUCCCCGCAUCAAUAAAAAAUCUAGAAAAAUACAUAGCUAACUGAGGUUCUGCGCCUCCUAAGAAAAGGCUUCCACCCCCUGGCUAUGCCCAUGGAGUCAAUUAAUUCUCCUUUUGCCACUAUUCUUCUCCAGGCUGAGAUCCACAACAGCAAAACAGAAACUAAGGAAGAGGAAGCUGACAGCCAGUGUCAGCCCCUUGGCUGCUGAUAAGCAAGGAGGCAGGCAGCUAGAGGCUGGUUGAGAGCAGACUAGGGUUGCUAGGGCAGUGUACCAUUUUGUCCUAAUAGAAAAGUCUCCGCUGCUUGGCUGAAAAGCACAGAAUGAUUGGCUGAUUUAUUGGUUUCUAACUGGGGAGGGCAGGAUUGCUUGGUGCAUUUGAAUAAGUUUAGAGUUUAGCAGAGAUGGCAUCCCUCCAGCUCAGCGACUACGGUAACCUUAGGGGUAGGUGAGUGUGAAAGUGAAAAGAAACCUUUUGGAAGAUAGAGAGAUAGAUGCCCCAGGACUGGAAGUCCCCACACCAGCUGCCUGGGUUUCUAGCUGGUUCUCAGACAUGCACACGCAUGUACAUAAACACUUGUCUCCUGAUGUGAUGCCAUGAUGCUAAAAGUUUUUUUGUGUGUGUAGCUACCUAAGACCCCUUCAAACCUUUUUCAUUUAAAUAAAAAACAAAUAGGGUUGUUAAGGUUGUUAUUGGAGCCAUAAAUUCGUGGCUCCAAUAAAAGUUAGAAUUGAUCAAGGUUUGGAGAAGUUAAACUGUGCAAAACACUGAACCCCCCCCCCCCCCCGCGCGCGCCAAUCAAGCUUAUGUUAACAUGCCAAGCCAGCCUGGUGAUAGCUUGCUGAAUGUGGGUCAUGUGGGACAAAGACUGGUAAUGGCCUAUGGAAAUCUAUCAGGAGGGUGGAGAUUGUGCAAGACAAGGAGGGGUGGGUACCUCCCUCCAGCUGUUAGUUAGUGUGCAGAGACAAAAGGAUGUAGGAAGGAGGGGUAGAGUUUCACAGGGUUAGGGGGGACAAGGAAGAGGAAGGGGGCUGAAGAACAUUGUGUAGGGCUGACCAUGACAUGCUGUAACAAAGAGACAGAGAGCAUGGCUGAUGAUGCAUUUUUUUCUCUCAUUAAUUAAUUAUUUUAAUUUUAAUUUUAUUUUUUAAAAAUGGGAAACUUUCGGCAGAGCACUAAUAAAAAUAUUCACUUAAGAGUGAUUAUAGUUGAUAUUAUCCCAGUCUGUCUUUGAUAAGCUUAGGAAGAAGAAGAAGAAAUGUGCAGACAAUAUAUGUUCAUUCAGACACAACUUAAUGACCUUCAGUUCAAUAUUUGAGCAUCAGUGUAUUUAUUAAGAAGCUAAAAUUGCAGGACCCAAGGGUUUAAUCAUUAACAAGAAACUGGAUCCGCUGACUGGAUCUUCGUCCUCCGUGAUUGCUACAGUCAGCGGAUCUUGGUUUCUACCUUGGAGAUGCCAGCAUGCAGUUCUGGCAGCAUGCCAGCGAGUUCAUUCCAGGUAAAUGGAGCAUCACUGAAGACGUGUCCUAGUCUAUGUACCAAAUGCCUUAAAACAAUUAUUCUGGUGGUGCAGGAAAACACGAAUUAUAAAGACCAAUAAAAUAAUACCUUAAGCAUACUGCCCAGUGUAUAGGUAAAGGGACCCCUGACCGUUAGGUCCAGUUACGGACGACUCUGGGGUUGUGGCGCUCAUCUCGCUUUACUAGCCAAGGGAGCCAGCAUACAGCUUCCAGGUCAUGUGGCCAGCAUGACUAAGCCACUUCUGGCAAACCAGAGGAGCGCACGGAAACGCUGUUUACCUUCCCGCCAGAACAGUAUCUAUUUAUCUACUUGCACUUGAUGUGCUUUUGAACUGUUAGGUUGGCAGGAGCAGGGACCGAACAAUGGGAGCUCACACUGUUGCAGGGAUUCGAACCACUGACCUUAUGAUCGGGAAGCCCUAGGCUCUGUGGUUUAACCCACAGCGCCUCCCGCGUCCUUCUUGCUCAGUGUAUACCAAAGGUUUAAAAGGCACUGGCCCCUAUUCUAUUCAAGAGUGUUAGUUCUCUAAACCUCUUCUGUUAACUGAGAAUGUAAACCUGCCUCAUGGAGAACAGAGCUAUCAAUGACAGCUAGACAUGGUGGCAAUGUUCUGCCUCAACAGUUGCAGGCAGCAAUGCUUCUGAGCCAUGGGCAUAGCCAAGGGGGACGGGCAGGGAGGAGCAGCUGCCACCCCCCCCAUCAAUAAAAUUCAAUAAAAUGCAUAGCAAACUGAGGUUUUGCCUCACCUAACAAAAGGCCUGUUGUCUUUGUCCAUGGAGUUUUCUUGGCAGGGAUACUGGAGUGGCUUGCCAGUUCCUUCUCCAGGUGGAUCACGUUUAGUCAAAACUCUCCACUAUGACCUGUCCAUCUUGGGUGGCCCUGCAUGGCAUAGCUCAUAGCUUCUCUGAGUUAUUCAAGCCCCUUCGCCACGACAAGGCAUUGAUCCAUGAAGGGAACCCAUGAAUGCCUUGUUAGAAAGCACUGCUAAUAACAAGGCCAGUGGAAGUGAUGAUAUUCCAGCUGAACUAUUUAAAAUUUUAAAAGAUGAUGCUGUUAAGGUGCUACACCCAAUAUGCCAGCAAGUUUGGAAAACUCAGCAAUGGCCAGAGGAUUGGAGAAGAUCAGUCUACAUCCCAAUUCCAAAGAAGGGCAGUGCCAAAGAAUGCUCCAACUACCGCACAAUUGCGCUCAUUUCACACGCUAGCAAGGUUAUGCUUAAAAUUCUACAAGGCAGGCUUAAGCAGUAUGUGGACCGAGAACUCCCAGAAGUGCAAGCUGGAUUUCGAAAAGGCAGAGGAACCAGAGACCAAAUAGCAAACAUGCGCUGGAUUAUGGAGAAAGCUAGAGAGUUCCAGAAAAACGUCUACUUCUGCUUCAUUGACUAUGCAAAAGCCUUUGACUGUGUCGACCACAGCAAACUAUGGCAAGUUCUUAAAGAAAUGGGAGUGCCUGAUCACCUCAUCUGUCUCCUGAGAAAUCUCUAUGUGGGACAAGAAGCUACAGUCAGAACUGGAUAUGGAACAACUGAGUGGUUCAAAAUUGGGAAAGGAGUAC